ensembl:lncRNA
AAAGAGAAGCUAAAUAUUAGUUUCAGGCUGAUUUGUGGUUUCAUCUGUCAGCUGCUUGCAGUUGUUAUGGCAAGAACGAUGCCGAGCGUUUCAAGAAGAAUUUCUUUAAUCCAAUUUCCCCCGGCCUCAACCAGAACCAUAUGUGUUUUCACUGCAGUGCGCUCUGAGAUCACAGCGCCCUGAUGGCUUUUAACAGCCCAUCAGGAAGACUGACAUGAAACUAAGACUUCUCUGCAGAUCCGUUCAGGGAGACACCUCAGCGCCUGCUUCUUGCUUUGGCGUCAUUUACUGCUGUGAUUAACGCGUCACGCUCCCAGACAGAGGUCGGGUCACCGAGAGGUUUCCUCUGGUGUGAGAGCUUUCAUUUGACCCAGGUGACAAGUAGCCUUAGUGCUGUCAUUAUCUGACAGAUGAGAGAGACAUGUGCGCAAUGUGGCCUUCACCAAAAUGGGAAAGAUUUAAGUCUGAGUGAUGUUUUUUUUUUUUUUUUUUCCUUCACGUCUGCUCUGAUCUGCCAAGUAAAAGAGACACUUCAGAAAGGUCUGCAGAAACCACUUGGAUCAGAGAUCACAAAACGGCCCGAGUUCACUGCCCUUUGGGAAUGAUCAGAGUCAGGAUUUACCAGAGUAUUCCAGCAACGACUUGUGGUUGUGUUUUAUAUAUUAAAGCAAAUUAGCCUUUCCUCUUGUGGAAAAGUUUUUACUUUUACUCGUCCGCAUUUUUCGUUGCUAUAUUAAAAAUAUAAUAUAAAAGUUUCAGCUCAACCAAAACACUAUUUAUAUUUACCUCAUAUACUCACAUUUUUGCUCCAGAUCCUCUGGAAGAGCCCGUUCUGCACUCUUAAGUGCAAUUUGCCCGUCAGCUGCCUCUGCUAUUUGUAUUAAAAUGUUCAGUGGUGAGGAUGUGGGUUUGUAUUUCAACGCUUGCUCACUCGAGAAUCUCACCAAUAUUGUUUUGAUAGUAAACAAACAUUUGUCUUCUGUCUUGAAAAGAUCAUUAUGUUGUCAGUGGAAAAGAUGCAGGUCGAAAUCCUGAUCUAAUCUAUUUAACUACAAAAUCCCCCCAUUUUUUGUGCCCACCAAACAAGCUCACUGUAAUGUUUCGUGAGAGCCACCAGAUGGCAGGAUUUCACAGGAUAAGUGCAAAGCCAGACAAGACCUGAACGGUCCA